rnacentral:rRNA from 1 species
AUGCAAGUCGAACGAACCUUCGGGUUAGUGGCGGACGGGUGAGUAACGCGUGGGAAUCUGCCCUCAGGAGGGGGAUAACGGCUGGAAACGGCCGCUAAUACCCCAUAUGCCGAGAGGUGAAAUGAAUUUCGCCUGAGGAUGAGCCCGCGUCUGAUUAGCUAGUUGGUGAGGUAAGAGCUCACCAAGGCAUCGAUCAGUAGCUGGUCUGAGAGGAUGAUCAGCCACACUGGGACUGAGACACGGCCCAGACUCCUACGGGAGGCAGCAGUGGGGAAUUUUCCGCAAUGGGCGAAAGCCUGACGGAGCAACGCCGCGUGAGGGAUGAAGGCCUCUGGGCUGUAAACCUCUUUUCUCAAGGAAGAAGAUCUGACGGUACUUGAGGAAUAAGCCACGGCUAAUUCCGCGCCAGCAGCCGCGGUAAUACGGGAGUGGCAAGCGUUAUCCGGAAUUAUUGGGCGUAAAAGCGUCCCGCAGGCGGCCUUUCAAGUCUGCUGUUAAAAACGUGGAGCUUAACUCCCAUCAUGGCAGUGGAAACUGUUGGG